AUUGAACGCUGGCGGCAGGCCUAACACAUGCAAGUCGAGCGGAUGAGUGGAGCUUGCUCCAUGAUUCAGCGGCGGACGGGUGAGUAAUGCCUAGGAAUCUGCCUGGUAGUGGGGGACAACGUUUCGAAAGGAACGCUAAUACCGCAUACGUCCUACGGGAGAAAGCAGGGGACCUUCGGGCCUUGCGCUAUCAGAUGAGCCUAGGUCGGAUUAGCUAGUAGGUGAGGUAAUGGCUCACCUAGGCGACGAUCCGUAACUGGUCUGAGAGGAUGAUCAGUCACACUGGAACUGAGACACGGUCCAGACUCCUACGGAGGCAGCAGUGGGGAAUAGUUGGACAAUGGCGAAAGGCCUGAUCCAGCCAUGCCGCGGUGUGUGAAGAAGGUCUUCGG
rnacentral:rRNA from 1 species